CUCAUUUUACUCUUCCACAUUCUACAGCCAGAAAAUGGCCCCGUAUCAACUCCAAAUCCUUCAUGCACCAAAAACUGGAUUAUUAGGCUCUGAACCUUUUACAGUGGGCUGCUGGAUUUAGAUUGUUUAUUACCAAGUUCCAAGAAGUAGGUGGCCAAGGAUGUCUUGUUUAGUUGUUGAACAAAAAGGUGUUUGGUUUCCAGUCUAGUACAGGAUAAUAUUCCUUGACAUUUAGCAGAUUAUAGGAAGUUAACUUUUAGUGUAUACUGGACUGUACCUAGGCAAAAGGGUCCAUAUUUUUACCCCAGUAUGGUAUUCAUUUAUGUUAACAUGAUCUAAUAAAUGUCUCAUCUAUAUACUGCUUUUUAAUGACUAAACUACCAUAUCAUUUACUUGAUUUUAUACUUAGUUUGGGAUGAUAGAGCUUUUACAUGUGGGUGACUAAGGUCACAGAGUGAAAUAAUUUACUGAAGGUCAAAAACAGUUAAGCUGAAGAAUUAAAUACAUGUCAUACCUAUUCCCAAAACUCAGCUUCCCAUCAUCUGUGGAAUCAUGUACGAUCUUUGGCAAGGCUUUGAGUUGGGCUAACAAAGUAGACUGUUUCUGAGUCUGUUUCUCACCUAUAAAAUGAGAAAUAAGAUAGGUCCAUUGUGGGAAUUAAAGUAUAUAAAGUGUAUGUCAUACAGUAGAUGCUCUCAAUAGCAAUACUGUGAUAGUCAAGGAUCAUUCGUCAUCUGUUACUAGUCAGUCCAUCCACAUGUGGUGACAACUAAGAGGAGUGAUUGUGGUGCCUUCUAUUGGUACUCAAAUGAGAAAGAGGUGGUAAGGGAAUUCAGGAUGAGAACUGAGAGGUCUUUCAGUGCAUGUGCAGACCCUGAGGCAAGCAUGAGGUGAUUCUCUGGAGAAGUCUUUGGGGCUUCCCUGGAUUGGCAGCUGUGUCAUUGUAUUUGGCUUGCUGGGAGCUGGCCUCUGUUCGUAGGGAAGCUCUUAGAUGACCUCUUCUGGCAAACAGAAAUGGUAAGGAUUUCAGUGAGAUUGAGAUAAUGAGAAUAUUUUACAGUUUAUGAGGGUGGAAUUAACAUUCAUUAUGCCAUUUUAUCUAGACAGUGGACCUGUGGUAUCCCCCAAUACAAAAAGAAACUAAGGUUCAGAGAGAGAAUGGUCUUGCCUCAAGAUCAUGUGCCUACGAUCGUAUGUCAGCCUUUUAACUCCAAACUAGUGACCUUUCCUCUGCACUAAGGAAGAACUACAAAUAGGUUUAGAGAGGAGAGCUGAGAGGAUGAGGAGUGGGACCCCCUAAAACCAUGCAGAGUCUGGGGGGAAGUCCUUGUUUUUUUUUUUCUGCAACUAAAAGCUGGAGAAGAGGCUUUAACAACACAGCAAAAACACUUCAUAGCUGGGAAAACCCUUCAAGCCUAACUGAUUCAGUACACCUGUUUUACAGAUGGGCAUACUGAAGCUCCCAGGAAAUGGGAAAAGGUGAAAGAAUUUUAGAAUGACAGCUUCUACAUUAACCACCUGCAUUAUACAAUUACCAUUUCACUGAUUUAUUUGAUCACACAUCUAUCCAUCCUAGAGGCCUUUAAUAUCCCUGAUUUUAAUCUUUCGGGGCAAAGAAGGAAGUGGCUAUGUGGUGAUGGGGGGCAAGGGUAAGAAGUGGUUUGCAAUAUGAUUUCUAUUUAAUUAUCCUAUGAAAAAUCUAAAAUUGUUCUAUAAGUUACUAAUUUUUAACCUUGGGAACAAGAAAAAAGUUUCAAUCUGCAAUACUCUCGUUAAUUCCAGGGCCAGAUGAAGGUGAAGAACAUUUGUCAUAAUGUUAUCCUAUAAACAUUCGAAAGAGAUUCCAUUGAUACAAAGCAUAAAUAUGUCCCUGUUGGGAAAGACAGGAGCAGUGUUUUCUGAUAAUAAGGAGUGUUUGUUGGAGCUACAGGAGAGGAAGCAGCUUCAGAAACACCAUUGCCAGGAGGCUCUGGCAGAAAAAAUUCAAACCCCUGCCAUGGGAAGUGGGUUACAGCCUUCACAGGACAUACAUGCUAAAAUACCAGAGUGGAAUGUUGUCCUGAUGUUUGAUGGGAUUCUCAGGGGACUGAGCAGGACAGGAUGGGUGACAAAGCUUCCCUGUGUUUCCAUGGUGAGCCUGAGGCAGGCCAGAACAAGGACCCACUUCCCAUUGACCUGUGCCCACUUCAGAAGGCAGGUGUGUUUAAAUAGGAUCCUGGGUUUCUGAAGUUGCAUACGGAAACAGUUGAAUCCCUACAAAGGCAGGCUAAGAACAAGGCAGUGCAGGGAACUGUGAACAGGGAAAGUGUGGGGAUGGGAGAGUCAUUAUGCUUGGAAUCCAUAUACAGCCAGCAACUGUCUUCCAUCCCCACAUCAGGUCGCUGGUCCUGCUCUCUAGCUGGUGAACGGCCUCAUGUAGGAUGUGGUUUUCAUCACUGGGCUCUCUGAAGGGUGCAUUUUUGCCUUGCCAUUCUCGACUUCUCGACCAAUGUUCCAGGAAAUUUUCUGGAGCAGAAAUUUAAAAAUGCAUGGGCAAGAGGAGGGAUGGAAAUUGCAGCCUUAAAACAAAUGAGAUGGGAGCCACUAACUUGUGUUCUAGCCUACUCCCACACCCCACCCAGCUUCUGGUGGGGUUUGGUCUUACCAAAGGAGAUGCACGAACUGAUGAAACAGAGGAAAUGCUGACAGGGAGGAGGCAGGAGGGGAGAGCAAAAGAAGGAGAAGUAAUGACCUGAGUACUAGCUGGAGAAGCCUUAAUGAUCCUAAAAAUUAUUGGACAGUAAUUUCAACUUUGUAACUCAUUUUGCUGUUCCAGAGAAUGAUAAAGCACCUUAAUUAUUGCUUUAAAUAACUGCAUGUCUCCAUCAAACAGCAUGAAAUAGCACCCCCGUAUGAGCGAACCUAUCCCCUGCCUUUGCUAUCUUUACAGCCUGAGAAAUCCUUAAGGAAGCAGCGGGUAGCUGCUUUUGCAUUUGGUAGACGUGUCAUCUAGUCUGGGCCCUCAGAAAGCUGGAUUACUCAGGCCUGGGAGAAAUUUGUACAGAGCACCCUUGUCCUUGAUAGUCUGAGAUCUUCAGUUGGGGCAGUCAGAAAAAUGUCACUGGAUUCACCCUCUUCACAUUGGGUGGAGGUGGGGAGGGAAGCAUUUCAAAAUUUUUAAAAGUUCUUUAUUUCUACAAUAAUUUCAACCUAUCCAAGAAGUUCUCCCUGUCCAUUGGUAUUUCAGGAUAUGAGCCCAAAGCCUUUCCAACAUGCUUUUCUGUUUACACCCAUACAGACAGUAAAAGCCAGCCAGCUCUCUCAAAGCAUGGCGAAUCUCUCUUUCCCUCCUUCCAUUGCUCAGGAGAAGCGCCUGUUUACCUGCAGAGAGCUGUGGGAAAAUAAGAGGGUUCUCAAUUCAAAUUUCUGGAGUUGGUUUCUGAGAGGGGGUCUUAUUGGAGGGAAAAAAGCUAAAUUGUAUUUUAAGAACCUAUUUCCUGCCUGCCUGUUUAGAGAAUUUUGCUCUGAUUGGUUCAUGUAUUAAAAAUGUCUUAUGUCAGUGGCUGGAGGUCCAUUCACCGUUUCUCAACACUCCUUACCACUUAACAGCGCUGCACUCAGAGAGCAAGCUUUCUAGUCAGUCUGAGAAACAGCCCACAGAGAAAGCCCGAUCUUGCCUGCCUCCUCAGAGUUGGGAUAGAGGAUGGGUCCCAUGUACAAAAGGUGUUUGUUGAAUAAAUCCUAUACCUUCCAGUGCAGUAUUCAUAGACCCUGGGCUGGGCUUCCAGUCAGACUGGGGAAUAGCUGCAAAUCUCAGAUCUCGACCUGAGUCCUAAAGCUGGUACAGAUGAGCCCUCUGCUUGCCAGCUUCUACUAAGAGGGCAUUAUGGCAGGCAUGGUGAUGCCUCAACUCCCUCCAAUUUCAGUGUGUGGCAAUUAACUAAGGAAUCUGAUUUUCACAAAAGACUAACUUUUAUUGGUGAUGGUUCCAGUUUAGCUGGGGCACCAAUCUACUUUGCAGUCUAAUAUCAUGGGGCCUCAAAAAACGCCAUCUCUUUUUAAUGCUUAUAAACAUGCAUACUUUGAAGGAAAGGAACCAUUUCCUUUCAUAUUUAUUUAUUUUCUCUAUAGUAUGAAAAAAAUAGCCUGUGAAAAAUAUUGAUAAGCUUCUUAGAGUGAUACAUUCCUUAUUUACUGACAACUUAGAAGAAGAAAUAGUUUCAAUCAAGUGAACUUUUAUCUUUCUAGACUUUAACUAAACAGAAUUAACACUAAAUUUACAUACACACACAUCCUUUCCUUUCUAUGCAUGCCUGUCCUUGGUCACUCCCGAUAGCCUAAGCCGAGAAUAGACUCUUGAAUGCUCGAAAGGACCAGAGGGCAGCAGAGCUGGUUGAUCCAUUUAUUUUGGCUGCUCUUGAAACAAAGAGAUUCUUUUGCAAAUAGGUGAGAAAUUAUUGAUAUUACUGUCUGUCUUCUUCAUUGAUAUCUAAGCAAAGUUGGUAUCUAAAUUUGGCUCCUAAGAAUGGUUGCAGUUUUGGAGGUGGAUAAAAUCCCCAGUGUCCAGUUCUCCUUCUGUGCAUAAAUACUGGUCUGUACAUGUAAGGGAUUUGAAAUCCAGUAAGCCAUUCAUGACACCUGAUCAGUUUUACCCCCGCCACAGUGCGUGGCAUGGGUAGCCCCGAAGGCAUUAUAGCCUCUGUGCACAAACUGAAGAAGAAAUUAAGGAAGUAUUGUUCUGACCCAAAAAAAAGUAUACUUCGGUUUCUUGGAGCCAUCUAAAAACUGACUGAAAGAAUCCAUCUAGUUUGAUUUUCUAUGAGGAAAUACAUGUACUUUAUUGCUAAUCCUCCUACCUUAAUGGUACUGUCUUCGUGAGCGGGCUCCAUUCCUAAUUCAUAAUGGUAUCUUUGACUUUAUAAUGACUGAUGUUCUUUCCCCACCACUGUUCACCUUUCAUAAAGUGGAAUAAAAGAUAAAACAAAUCUGCAAGUUUUCCAAAGAAGAAAGGCAACCAGAAUUACAUGGGUCCACGUAUGUGUACAUAUAUAUAGAUACAUAUGUGCACAUCCACUGGAGGUUCCACGAAUCAGAGUGAUGUUAGGGUUUUUUGGUCCUAGACACCAAUUCAAGCACAUACGACAGAGUGAGGAGGGAAUUAGAGACCACCUAUGUCACCCCCCCCCUUGUGUAUUUAAGAUAAACUAAAGCUUAGUCAUUUGUUCAAGGUCACCCAGCAUAUUCGUGGCAGGACUAAAAUUCAGACUCUUCUUUUCACUGCUGUAAUGCAUCUCCUCACAUCUGUUUUCAUUCGGGAUACCAAAUUUGGAAUAGUCUGAGAGAAGAUUUCAAGGACAUUUCUUGUGUCUUAAAGAGAUGAUUUUAUUGUCUGUUGGAUACUGUCAGCUAGAUGUGGCAGCUCCCAGUGGGCUGAUAAGUUGAAUAUGGUGGCAGAAGUUCAAGGACUCCGCAGAGGCUGGGCAAGUGGCCUAGGGAUUUCUUUGCCUCAGAGAUUCCAGACACCUCAUACGAGGAGCCCAGCUUGAAAUCUGCAGAUUCUGCUGUGAGGCAGGCAGAAUGUCUCAGAACAUUAGUUAGUUAGUACCUGCAUUUAUUCCUGGUAGAGGCUGGAGGCCUUUGUUGCCUGAUUCAUCUAGACUUCAGACAUUCUGAAUUUAGUCCAGUAAUAAAUAGAGAGAAGGUCUUACCUAAUGUUUUUGUGAAAAAUUUUUUCCGCUUAAAUAAAGUGAAUAAAGUGCUAAGGGGCUAAUAGCCUCUACAAAGACUCAUGCACCACUGUAGAAUUGAGGGUUUUCUCCCUUAAAUAAAGUGAAUAUAGUGCUAGUGAAAGGUGCUAAUAGCAGUUGCAAGACUGACAUUCUUUCUAGUCUUGAACUGGUAGUAGUUGUUCAAGUCCUUCUAUUUUUUUCCUCCAUUAGACACAUAUGUGGUAUGGAAAGGGAUGGCCUUUGAUGCAACUCCUGUCUACUUGGCUCCCAGCCCUCAAAGCUUCUUUAAGAAAAUAAUUGCAGGUUCUAUCUUAUAUCAUCCAAGGUUAGAAUACAGUUUAGCUUUCUGGUCUACACAGGCCGGAAGGGAAGGCAGUGACUCACUGACCUUGAAACAGGGAUGUAAACAGCUUUAUCAUUCAAAGCCAAAUCCUUUUUGGUCUGCAAACUGCAUUUUUGCCUGUAUCACCCUAUAUCUUGUCUUGGCCUGCGUUUUUUGGCCUCUUUAGGUAUUAGCUAUUGUGCCACAGGGAAUGGGAGGAAUUUCCCUAGGAGAAGGUACUUCAGGGAGGAGUUAGGCUCCCGGUCAUUCAUUCCUGUCCUGCCCCACAUUGGGGAUACUCUAAAGACACAAGUGAAAGCCCAGGCCUCAAACUGAUUGUCAGCUGCAUCUCACUGUCUACCUACUAUCUUGAUCCAAAGCCAAGACACUAAGGGGCAAAGGAAGGUGAAACCCCAGCACACAAGUCAUGCAUCAAGCAGGAGAGGGCCGCGGAGUGUGUGUCUGCAUUCAGGGGCACUCGUGUCGGCAGAGACUAGACAGAGGCUGCUAGAGACAGCGGCCCUGCUUAAUUCCAUGUCCCACCUUACAGAUCACCCCUCUGUGGACAUCCGUGUCCUUUAGCAGGAGCCUCCUCCCCCCAAUCCAUUUCUAGUCUCUUUCCUUUUUUAUGGAAUGCCCUAUCAUCUAUCCUGGGAUAGAUCUGGCACUUCAGAGUUAGAAGGAAAGAGAAAAUAUUUGUCUAACUUUGCUAAAUGUUAAAGCUCAACAAAGCACCAAAACAGAAAGAGGCUUAUAAAAAUAUAAUGGGGUCACCCCCCUGCCCUAAGCAUCCUUCGUGAUUUGUGGUAUAUGAAAUGUCAAAAUAUAAUGAACAGACUUUCUAAACAUGACUGUUUCUCUCCGUCCAUAUGUAUUAAAGCUCGGGCAGUCUCAGGACUACCUUACAACAGCUAAAUCUUUACUCUGCAGGACCACUACAUAACCAGUCUGUUUCAGCCCACCGAUCCCACCUUCCCAAAGAUAUACCCACUUGCAGUUCCAAAGACACUCUUCAAAAAAAUAGACAUUUGAAGAAAGUGCAUCUGUUGAGCCUCACUCUAUCUGCAUAUUAUUUCUUGAGAUUAUUACUUUUCAACCAUAAAAAAGAUUGCAUAUUGACAGUAUAAUGAAACCAUAAUGGCCAUUUCUGGGUGGUGGUGGAAGGUUGAGGUGUGGAAGCACAGAAGCAAGAGGGCUCAGAGAGGGGCAGGUGUGGGCCUUAGCCUUGGUGUGUGAGGAUUGAGGUGGGUGAUUUUGAUUCUCAGUCUUUCGGCCUCUGAACUGUCCCAUCUCUUUAGUCCCUCCCUUCUCUCCUCUCCACCUUUCCCCAUUCCCACCCCCCCAUGCCCAGGAUGCACUACCCUCUUGAAGCAGAGGCAGAAUGACUUUUUGGCAUGUGUCCACCUGGGCCAGUUUGAGAUAGGCGUGGCGUUUGGAAGGCUGUGAUACGGACAUACACCAGAGCAAGCUUAUUUGUGACUGUUUCCACUGGGAAAAAUUGUCCAUCACUUCCGUGACUUUAAAACUUUAAGCAGUUACUAUGCUGAUAGGUUAAGAAACAAAUAUUUUGUUCUUGUGGUUUUGCGUUAAUAUUAAGCAUGAAUAUAUAUCAUAUAUUACAUUGCUUUCCUUCUGCUGCGGGGCAGACUGCACUCUCUUUCCAAAUAGGAAAAUUGCACAGCCCAUGGACUCAAGCUUUUGAAAGCUGU